CUGUACCUCCCAAAUAGGCAUCAGCAUUUAAUCCCUGCCCCCAGUUCCAAUUUCUAGGAACCCCAGGAUGAGACAACUACUCUGGCAAUUACUUGUUUCUAGGCCUCUUUGUGUCAUCCAAAUUUAGGGUACCAGCCUUUGUUGGACUGGAGCUCAGCUUAAUCUGAGAGAAGAACUGAGGACCAGAAGCAGAGACUUCUGGGAUACUGCGGCCUUCCCCACUAAGAGCAUCGUUGCCACAUGGAGGUACAGACGGGUGAGGAUGGCUGUCCAUUCCUGUCUCCAAGCGGAAAGAAAGUGUGCAUUGCAAGAGGGGUUCCCUCAGCUCUAAUCCAAAGGAGGGAUCCUAGCUAUGCGGAUCUGGGGCCUUGAAAUGUAGGUAAGCUGCCUACUCUGGAAGAAGGCCCAGCAUCUUACAAGAAGAUUCUAGACAUGAUCUCUCUUGCCCGGCCAUGAAGACCAAAGAGGGUGCAUGUUCUAGAUGGUGAAGCUACGGGAUGAUGGAGCCAUCACCAGCCUGAUCUUUGAGGACCACAUGGAGGAUAUUGUCCUGAAGAGUCACUCAGGCCCCAGAGGAUUUUGUGUGGGUGAGAAGUAAACCUUUGUUGAGUAGUGUCACUGAGAUUGAGGGCUGCUUGUUACGAAAGCAUAACUAGCUUAUUCUAAU
rnacentral:lncRNA from 1 species